UCUGUAUGGAGGAAAUAUAGAGUCUGGCCUGCCCACUGAAGUUUUUAAAGGGCCGCGGUAAUUUGACCGUGCGAAGGUAGCAUAAUCAAUAGUCUCUUAAUUGGAGGCUGGAAUGAAUGGUCGCACAAAAAAUAAUCUGUCUUAGCUGUAGUAGUAGAAUUUUACUUUUGAGUGAAAAGGCUCAAAUAUGUUAAAGGGACGAUAAGACCCUAUAAAACUUUAUAUGAUAAGGUUAAUUUUUGAAUUUUAGUGUUAAAGUGGAUUGGCUUUUAUUUAUUAUGUUGGGGCGACAAGAAUAUAAAAUGAGUAACUGUUUAUAAAUUAAAAUAGGUAUGUUUAAWGAGGAUGAUCCUUUUUUARGGAUUAAAGGAAAAAGUUACUUUAGGGAUAACAGCGUAAUUUUUUCUGAGAGUUCUUAUCGACGAAAGUAGUUGCGACCUCGAUGUUGAAUUAAGAUUUCCUUAAGGUGUAGAAGUUUCAGUGGUACGUCUGUUCGACCUUUAAAAUC
rnacentral:rRNA from 1 species